CUUUCUUUGCUGGCGACCGGCGCACGGGUGAGUAACACGUAUCCAACCUGCCCUUUACUCGGGGAUAGCCUUUCGAAAGAAAGAUUAAUACCCGAUGGGAUAAUUAUUCCGCAUGGUUUGAUUAUUAAAGGAUUCCGGUAAAGGAUGGGGAUGCGUUCCAUUAGGUUGUUGGUGAGGUAACGGCUCACCAAGCCUUCGAUGGAUAGGGGUUCUGAGAGGAAGGUCCCCCACAUUGGAACUGAGACACGAUCCAA
rnacentral:rRNA from 1 species